CAUUCAUAAUAAGUGUUUUAUGGCACUUUUUAAAUCCAUAUCCACCUUGUGUGCAAUGUCAGUCGAUCUUCUUUAUGGAGAUUGGCCAAACAUCAACCUAUUUUUUUAACUCUUUGUCUGAAAAAUAUUAUCAAUAAAAUAAUUCAAAAUACAACUUUCAACAACGGAUCUCUUGGCUCUCGCAUCGAUGAAGAACGCAGCGAAAUGCGAUACGUAAUGUGAAUUGCAGAAUUCAGUGAAUCAUCGAAUCUUUGAACGCAUAUUGCGCUCUUUGGUAUUCCGAAGAGCAUGCUUGUUUGAGUAUCAGUAAACACCUCAAAGCUUUUGAUUUUUUUCAAAUGUUUUGGACUUGAGCAAUCCCAACACCAAUCUUUUUUAGAUCGGCGGCGGGUUGCUUGAAAUGCAGGUGCAGCUGGACAUUCUCCUGAGCUAAAAGCAUAUUUAUUUAGUCCCGUCAAACGGAUUAUUACUUUUGCUGCAGCUAAUAUAAAGGGAGUUUGACCAUUUUGGCUGACUGAUGCAGGAUUUCACAAGGGUCGGCAACGAUUCUUGUAAAACUCGAUCUCAAAUCAA
rnacentral:rRNA from 1 species